UACGUAGGGUGCAAGCGUUAAUCGGAAUUACUGGGCGUAAAGCGUGCGCAGGCGGUUGUGCAAGACAGAUGUGAAAUCCCCGGGCUCAACCUGGGAAUUGCAUUUGUGACUGCACGGCUAGAGUGUGUCAGAGGGGGGUAGAAUUCCACGUGUAGCAGUGAAAUGCGUAGAGGUGUGGAGGAAUACCGAUGGCGAAGGCAGCCCCCCUGGGAUAACACUGACGCUCAUGCACGAAAGCGUGGGGAGCAAACAGG
rnacentral:rRNA from 1 species